UUGUCUUCCCGAGUAGCUGCUCCAUUCCCGGCAUAGAGGAUCAGGAGAGGGGACGCCACCUGCCACACGCUGGAUGCUGGGGUCCGCACGACUGCGGCUUGUGUCGCUGUGGUUGGUGGUGGUGAUGGAAACUGCAGCGUGGCUGGAGUGCAGAAGAGAAACUGUCUUUAAAAUCUGUCUGCCUGGAUAAACUCAAAGGAGCCUUUACAGAAAGCACAUUCACACAGACUGGCUAAUGAGACCCCACACUGAAGAAGCCUAGAACUUCCACAGACUCCCUGAAAUCUAAGUCCUCAUUUUUAACAUACAGCUUUUAAUACUAGCUUCAGAAGUCCCGGAUCCCUGCAAAGCAACAAUGAACCAUUUCUUGAUUGGAUUGUGAUGUGACGAAAAGUGGAUUUUAUACGACAACCGGCAAUGACCAGCUCAGUGGUUGGACCAAGAAGACGCUCCAAGGCACUUCCCAAAGCCAAACUUGCACCAAAAAAGGUUAUGGUCACUAUUUGGUGGUCGUCGGCUCGUCUGAUCCACUGCAGCUUUCUGAAUGCCAGUGAAACCAUUGCCUCUGAGGAGUGUACUCAGCAAAUUGAUGACAUGCACUGAAAACUCCAGCGCCUGCAGGCAGCAUUGAUCAACAGAAAAGCCCAAUUCUUCUUCAUGACAGCACCUGACCACAUGUCACACAACUCACGCUUUAAAAGUUGAACAAAUUGGGCUACGAAGUUUCACCUCAUCUGCCGUAUUCACCUGAUCUCUCGCCAACUGACUACUACUUAUUCGAGCAUCUUGACAACUCUUUGCAGGGAAAAUGCUUUCAGGACCAGCAGGAUGCAGAAAAUGCUUUCAAGAGUUUAUUGAAUCCUGAAGAAUGGAUUUUUACACUAUAGAAAUAAACAGACUGGGCGCAGUGGCUCACGCCUGUAAUCUCAGCACUUUGGGAGGCCAAGGCAGCCAGAUCACCUGAGGU
rnacentral:lncRNA from 1 species